rnacentral:rRNA from 1 species
UACGUAGGGUGCAAGCGUUGUCCGGAAUUAUUGGGCGUAAAGAGCUCGUAGGUGGCCUGUCGCGUCGGCUGUGAAAACUCGGGGCUCAACUCCGAGCUUGCAGUCGAUACGGGCAGGCUAGAGUUCGGCAGGGGGAGACUGGAAUUCCUGGUGUAGCGGUGAAAUGCGCAGAUAUCAGGAGGAACACCGGUGGCGAAGGCGGGUCUCUGGGCCGAAAUUGACGCUGAGGAGCGAAAGCGUGGGGAGCAAACAGG